GACGAACGCUGGCGGCGUGCUUAACACAUGCCAGUCGAACGGAAAGGCCCUGCUUGCAGGGUACCCGAGUGGCGAACGGGUGAGUAACACGUGGGUGAUCUGCCCUGCACUUCGGGAUAAGCUUGGGAAACUGGGUCUAAUACCGGAUAGGAGCCAUCUUUAGUGUGGUGGUUGGAAAGUUUUUUCGGUGUAGGAUGAGCUCGCGGCCUAUCAGCUUGUUGGUGGGGUAAUGGCCUACCAAGGCGGCGACGGGUAGCCGGCCUGAGAGGGUGUACGGCCACAUUGGGACUGAGAUACGGCCCAGACUCCUACGGGAGGCAGCAGUGGGGAAUAUUGCACAAUGGGCGCAAGCCUGAUGCAGCGACGCCGCGUGGGGGAUGAAGGCCUUCGGGUUGUAAACUCCUUUCGCUAGGGACGAAGCUUUUUUGUGACGGUACCUAGAUAAGAAGCACCGGCUAACUACGUG
rnacentral:rRNA from 1 species